AAUAAGCGAAAGCUUGACGGGGCCAUCCCGAGUGCCAUCUGCUGAGGAUGGCUUUUACCNUGUAUAAAUAGCUGGGGGAAUAAGGAGAGGGCAAGUCUGGUGUCAGCCGCCGCGGUAAUACAA
rnacentral:rRNA from 1 species